AAGAAGAUUUCUGACUUAAAAAAAAGGAAUUAAGAAAACAGAAGAUCAGAGCCGUCCAUUUUUGAAGCGGCAAUCUCAAGGAUAAAUUGAUGGCUGUGAUGACUCCAUCUACCUAUCUCCCAGUUCCCAGUCUUCAACCACACAACAAUAACCAGAAGAAAAUUGCCUCCAUUUUCUCACAACAUGAUCUCCACUGGAUCCCUCUUGCAAUCUCCAUGCAAAACCCUAAUCUUUUCCAUUGGCAAUGGCAAUGGCCAUGGCUUCCUAGCAUGCACGCCAUUCUCUACAAGGCUUAGGACCAGCAGCAGCUUCUCCCAGACUAGCAGCAGUAGAAGGCUUCGAUCUCAUGGAGUUGUGUGUGGGCUCUUGCCUGUGGAUCCAUGGGCACCAUCCAUUGAUUCACAGAGCAUAGCCUCCCAGCUCUUUGCUUUCUCUCUCUUCCCAUACCUUGGCUUCCUCUACUUCAUCACCAAGUCCAAGACAACCCCUGGACUAACCCUCUUUGGAUUCUACUUCCUCCUCGCCUUUGUUGGUGCUACAAUACCGGCCGGGAUUUAUGCAAAAGUGCAUUAUGGAACAUCCCUGUCUAAUGUUGAUUGGUUGCACGGUGGUGCUGAAUCUUUGUUGACUCUUACCAACCUGUUCAUUGUACUGGGAUUGAGGAACGCUUUGAGGAAGAUCAAGAAUGAGAAGAAGAUAGCAUCUGAAGUUGUUUCAGAGGUUCAAGAGCAGCAGACUUCUGUUUAGUCCCUUUCAGGUUAAGUAUGAAGGGAGGGUGGUGGUCAAAGAAGAAGAUGCUUGGAACUGACCAAAAAUCCACAGGCCCUCUUGACACGAAAUUGAGUUAGUGAUUGAUGACGUUGAGGGAACAACGACAAGUGUGGGAUCCAAUGGAAGCCUUCAAGUUUGAUGCAAUCCUUUUCAAGGGCUUUCCAUUCCUUUAUUAUUUUGACUGAUUCCACUAAUGAAAGUUAAGGGUCUCAUGUAUCAUUGCAGGGAUUUGGUAGUCAUUUGGUUAAUUUCUUAGAAAUUCAUGUUUUUUUUGCUUUAUUAAGUUUAUUUUUUCCA